ACCCGCUGAACUUAAGCAUAUCAAUAAGCGGAGGAAAAGAAACCAACAGGGAUUGCCCUAGUAACGGCGAGUGAAGCGGCAUCAGCUCAAAUUUGAAAUCUGGCUCUUUUAGGGUCCGAGUUGUAAUUUGCAGAGGGCGCUUUGGCAUAGGCAGCGAUUCAAGUUCCUUGGAACAGGACGUCACAGAGGGUGAGAAUCCCGUACGUGGUCGCUAGCUCUUGCCGUGUAAAGCCCCUUCGACGAGUCGAGUUGUUUGGGAAUGCAGCUCUAAAUGGGAGGUAAAUUUCUUCUAAAGCUAAAUAUUGGCCAGAGACCGAUAGCGCACAAGUAGAGUGAUCGAAAGAUGAAAAGUACUUUGGAAAGAGAGUCAAAAAGCACGUGAAAUUGUUGAAAGGGAAGCGCUUGCAGCCAGACUUGCCUGUAGUUGCUCAUCCGGGCUCUUGCCCGGUGCACUCUUCUGUAGGCAGGCCAGCAUCAGUUUGGGCGGUUGGAUAAAGGUCUCUGUCAUGUACCUCUCUUCGGGGAGGCCUUAUAGGGGAGGCGACAUACAACCAGCCUGGACGGAGGUCCGCGCAUUCGUGCUAGGAUGCUGGCGUAAUGGCUGU
rnacentral:rRNA from 1 species